rnacentral:rRNA from 1 species
GUGGGGAAUAUUGGACAAUGGGCGAAAGCCUGAUCCAGCCAUGCCGCGUGUGUGAAGAAGGUCUUCGGAUUGUAAAGCACUUUAAGUUGGGAGGAAGGGCAGUAAGUUAAUACCUUGCUGUUUUGACGUUACCGACAGAAUAAGCACCGGCUAACUUCGUGCCAGCAGCCGCGGUAAUACGAAGGGUGCAAGCGUUAAUCGGAAUUACUGUGCGUAAAGCGCGCGUAGGUGGUUUUGUAAGUUGGAGGUGAAAUCCCCGGGCUCAACCUGGGAACUGCCUCCAAAACUGCAUGACUAGAGUACGGUAGGGGGUAGUGGAAUUUCCUGUGUAGCGGUGAAAUGCGUAGAUAUAGGAAGGAACACCAGUGGCGAAGGCGACUACCUGGACUGAUACUGACACUGAGGUGCGAAAGCGUGGGGAGCAAACAGGAUUAGAAACCCCAGUAGUCC